rnacentral:rRNA from 1 species
UACGUAGGGGGCAAGCGUUGUCCGGAUUUAUUGGGCGUAAAGAGCGUGUAGGCGGCCAGGUAGGUCCGCUGUGAAACUCGAGGCUCAACCUCGAGAUGUCGGCGGAAACCAUCUGGCUAGAGUCCGGAAGAGGAGAGUGGGAAUUCCUGGUGUAGCGGUGAAAUGCGCAGAUAUCAGGAAGAACACCCGUGGCGAAGGCGGCUCUCUGGGACGGUACUGACGCUGAGACGCGAAAGCGUGGGGAGCGAACAGG